rnacentral:lncRNA from 1 species
GUAUAGCAAAUAAAUCAAAUUCAGGAAGAAAUAUAGAAGAUGACGAAUCAGUAUUUAUUUGCACUAAUGCACCAUGUAUCAACUACUGCCAAUGUAAAGAUGAUUUCAUGUGAUUGUGUAGCAUUUUUUCUAUUGGAUGUCAUUCUAAAGUAUUGAACGACAAUCUAGCGAAGGUGGCUCUUAAUGGAAUGCAUUAAGCAACCUCAUAAGUGAGAUACAUAGGGAGAAAGAACUUAGGACUUCCAAGCUCACUUGAUAUCUGCAUGAAACGCAGCAAUAACCAAUAAGCAUAAGCCUGCAUUUCCAUCAGAGGUCAACAGUGGUAAGUAUGGAACUAUGAAGAAUAAAAAACAAAUGAUUUCUUAGUUAUAAGAUCAUUAGUUUCCCACUUUAAGAGAUAAUUCAAGAGCUAUUUAAAUUGAGCAAUUCAACAAUUUCAGUAUGCUUGCAAUCACCACAAAUCAUCUAUUCAAAAUAUCAUCCCCACAUAACCAUGUGUAUUUAAUAGCUUUGCCAAAAUAAAUGAGUUACCUAAUAAUUCCAGUAAUCACUGGACACAACAAAUACCUAAUACAUUAUAUUUUUCAGUAAUUUCAGUACUCUUCAAAACAAUAUUUACUUCUUGUCCCAUGUUACCUCAGACACAAAUAAAUGAGUUAAAUAACAAUAUCACAUUUAAAAUUAAAGAAUGAUAUGUUGAUCUUUCAUCAAUAGCUAAACUUAAUGAAGAAAAAAUGAAGGAAUAAGUUGUUGAUUACACCACUAUUGUUUCGGUUGAAUUAGAUUAAUGAAGAAAAAAGCGGAUGCGAUUAUUGCUGUUAGGCGAAUUCAUACUUCUCAAAUCAAAAGAUCGGCAUAGUUAGCAAAAAAUCACAGAAUUAGGAAACGAAACUCCAAAAUUCAGGAAAGCCACAAACCGAGACAAAGAAUCCGAACAGUUCACAAACAAAUCACAAAAAUACACACACACACAAACAUAACACUUUAUAUUAAAGAAAACUGGAAAAUAAGCACAAAUAAAAAUAAAUAAAUAAAUAAGAGCAUAAAAGAAAGACAACUAUACAUAAAAUAGAUGAGUGCGUGCAUUUAUAUAAACAUGUAGUUUGCGAAGAAAGUUAAUUUGGAGAGAUCCUUGCAAAGUUCCUCUGAUCUCAGCUCUAAUCUUAAGCUGCUACUUUAAUCCCUGCAACAAAAAGAAGAAGAAAAGAAUAAGCAAGAGACAAUAUCAAGAAUGUAAAGAAAAAUUCGCAGGGUUAUGUAAAGCAUUUUGUCAAACCCAUUACAUGCAAAAUUUGAAAACAGAUUUCUUUCAAUUGUGGAUCCAAUAACUCUCCCAGAAUUCGAUCAAUUAUAACCAAAGAAAGUGCUUCGAAGGAAUGAGUUGUUAUCUGUAGCUACGGCUUCAAUUUGUGUGUAAAAUCCUUUGCUAUGAACCACUUUAUAUAUAGUCGAAUCAUUGUCUUCAUUUACAGAAAGUUUCCAUCCAUUCGUUGGUUGAGGAAGAAGAAAUAUAUUGUGAAGACAAACAUGGCAAGAAUGGAAAUUUGCUAUCACUAAUUUCAGCAAAAGCCUCAAUAUAUGCGUGAUCAACCUUUUUUCAAAAGAAAAAGAAAUUAAUUUAGAUUGGGGGCCGAUUCAUGUAGAAAUGGAAAUUGAUAUCAUAAAAUUCUUUCCAAAAUUUGUUCUUUCUAAAAUAAUAAUCAUUCUAUAUUUAAAAUAGUCAAACAUUUAAUACUUACCAUGUGGGGGGCAGAUCCGCGGGGAGUCGAAGCGGCGGCGGCCAUGGCUGCUGUGGUGGCCGGAAAUCGCGAAGAGGCGGUGAGGAUUUGGAGAUCUAGGGCUUCUUUGGGAGAGAGGAUGGAGAUUAGGGGUUGAGAGGUGGAGAUGAGGAUCGAGACAAAAGUCGGUCGACGGUGAUGGGGUGACUGUCGUGGUCGCUGGAAAUCGCGAAGAGGCGGUGAUGAUUUGGGGAUCUAGGGCUUCUUUGGGAGUGAGGAGGGAGAUUAGGGGCUGAGAGAUGGGAGGGGAGACAGAAGUCGUGGCCGUGGCUUGCCGGCGGCAGCUUUCGCUGGAGUUUCAGGGGCGGCGGCGAUAGGGUGAGAAUAAGGUGUGACGGGUGGUCUGCAGAUGUGGAGUGAGAUGUGAAUUUGAUUCUUGAAUAAUUGUUAAUUGGAAUAUUCAAUGUAAAUUAAAAAUAAAAUAUUACAUGUGGAAUUAAUUUGCCACGUAGGAUGUAUAUUUUAAAGCUAGAGGCUGUAGAAUUGCAGGGAUUUUAAACC